rnacentral:rRNA from 1 species
UGGGGAAUAUUGGACAAUGGGCGAAAGCCUGAUCCAGCAACGCCGCGUGGAGGAUGAAGGCUUUCGGGUUGUAAACUCCUGUCAGGUGGGACGAAAGGAUUCCGGUCAAUAGCCGGUUUCUUUGACGGUACCACCGGAGGAAGCCCCGGCUAACUCCGUGCCAGCAGCCGCGGUAAUACGGAGGGGGCAAGCGUUAUUCGGAAUUAUUGGGCGUAAAGGGCGCGUAGGCGGCCUGACAAGUCAGGGGUGAAAUCCCUCGGCUCAACCGAGGAACUGCCUCUGAAACUGUUUGGCUUGAGGCCGGGAGAGGGUAGUGGAAUUCCCAGUGUAGCGGUGAAAUGCGUAGAUAUUGGGAGGAACACCGGUGGCGAAGGCGGCUACCUGGACCGGUUCUGACGCUGAGGCGCGAAAGUGUGGGUAGCAAACAGGAUUAGAUACCCCCGUAGUCC